GACUGAGGAGCUGAGGAGAAAAGAAGGACUCACAGUCAGCAGUUGUGAGAAACUUGACAACCAAAUGGUGUCUGAGAAGUAUGUGUGUCUGAAAAACUGGAGGCCCACACUACACCUGCUGAAUGAGAAAUAGGUAGGAUCCAGCAAUGUGCAGUUGGAUCAAGAAGCCCUGUGGGUGAUUCUUGUGUGUCCUAAGGCUAGAGAGUAAUGACAUCCAAGAAGGGUCACAGGAGAAGACCUUUCUGAAAGAUUUUUAUUGCUAGUCUCCCUUUGUAGAGUGUUUAAGUCCUUUAGAGACAGUGAUUUUUUUUCCUGUCUUGUUUUCUAUUCCAUUUAAUGCUGAGAACUACUGAUGCUCAGUAGGUGCUCAAUAAUUGUUGAACAAACCAAUUUAGUAAACACAGCCAGGCACUAUUCUGAGUAUUUUCAUUGUCGGGCUGUGACAGAUCUAAGCUGUGUCCAGUGCUGUAAAUUUGUACUGCAUACAGACCUAAAGCUGCUCACAUGCUAGGCAAAUGGCAUACCACUGAGCCCCUCCCCCCACCUUGGGCAGUGGGUAUGCCUGAACAUCCCCUCUUCUGAAUCACUUCCCACACAAUGCCACUUCCCUUUUUCACUUCCCUUGCAUUGACCUCACACACAUACAUGCUGACCACAGGAACCUCACUUUUAGGAAAGGGCUAAGUUUUCAAGAUGGUAGAUAAAGUAGCUGCCAUGAUGCCUUCUUCACAAAUGAGGCCUUCCCUCAUCUCACCCUUCUCCAGUACCCCCAUGAAAUUGGUCACCAUAGUCAAGAUUAUGCAUUUUACAGGUAAGAAAAUGAGCCAGCCAUGGUGUUACUUGCCUGUUCAAGACCAGCCUGGUGUUUAAAGCAAAUUUCAGGUAUGGCUAUGUUGUAAAACCUU
rnacentral:lncRNA from 1 species